UCUUCCAUGGUGUAGUGGAUAGCAUAUGUGCUUGUCAAUUGAUAACUCGCACAUGACCCGGGUUCAAUUCCCGGUGGGAGAG
rnacentral:tRNA from 1 species